rnacentral:rRNA from 1 species
GAUGAACGCUGGCGGCGUGCCUAAUACAUGCAAGUCGAGCGAAUGGAUUAAGAGCUUGCUCUUAUGAAGUUAGCGGCGGACGGGUGAGUAACACGUGGGUAACCUGCCCAUAAGACUGGGAUAACUCCGGGAAACCGGGGCUAAUACCGGAUAACAUUUUGAACCGCAUGGUUCGAAAUUGAAAGGCGGCUUCGGCUUUCACUUAUGGAUGGACCCGCGUCGCAUUAGCUAGUUGGCGAGGUAACGGCUCACCAAGGCAACGAUGCGUAGCCGACCUGAGAGGGUGAUCGGCCACACUGGGACUGAGACACGGCCCAGACUCCUACGGGAGGCAGCAGUAGGGAAACUUCCGCAAUGGACGAAAGUCUGACGGGGCAACGCCGCGUGAGUGAUGAAGGCUUUCGGGUCGUGAAACUCUGUUGUUAGGGAAUAACAAGUGCUAGUUGAAUAAGCUGGCACCUUGACGGUACCUAACCAGAAAGCCACGGCUAACUACGUGCCAGCCGCCGCGGUAA